rnacentral:lncRNA from 1 species
GAAUUUAUUUCCACUUCUGAAUGGGGAAGCGCCUUCAUCAUUGGGUAGUGGUAUGCAAGAACUCGAAGAGAUUUCAAUGAAUGAUUCAUUUGCCUGUGUUCAAUCUUACACAGUUCGUGGGGUAGGAUUUCAAAAUCCCCUUUGUUGCUGUGUUCUCUGCUCCCAAGGGGAAGAAAUGGGCCGGGCCAGAAGCAAGGCACCUUUCACUCCUUUGUGUCCUGCCCUCACCAGUGCAUUGACCUGGCAAGAUCUGAAUCUUCGAGCUGAUGGUUAUCAAAUGGCAUGUGAGGGUCCUGCGACAUGUUUUUCUGCAGCUUCUUCCUUGCCUGGGACUGUCUUCUCUGGGACCCUCCCUUCCAUCUCCUACGCAGAAUGGCAGAGCCAUUCCUCAAGUCAUGAGAACCCUACGGACAACAAAUGGAAAUACAAGGAAAGCUUGCCUGCUGCAGAGACAGCUAACCCAGUGCCUUUGGAAGACAAUGGGAGGCCCUGAAUAACUGGCUCUUCGGAAGAUUCCAGAUUGUAACUGGCCAGCCUUCCAGCUCCCAGAACACGGGCGGGAUCUGCUGAGCGUCAUCCUCUGGGCGUGCCCACCGGGGCCAUCAGCAGGGCGACCCCUCGAAUCGCUUGCUGUGACACAUUUCUGUCCAUCGCAUCCUGCUACAUCUCCAGCAAGCUGGGGCAGCUCCUAGGCAAGAAUUUCUGGCUGUUUGUCUAAAGCUGUGACAACUUAGCUGUGGCGUUUGGACAGCCCUGGGUAUGUCCAGGGACUGUGUGGGGAGGGAGGGAAUUCCCUCCCCCCCCCCCAGUAGUUCACAACCAAAUGGAUUUUUAAAUGUUCUAAUUCUUCAACGACCACAGCAAUCACCACAGGAACAAAAUCCAUAUCCUGCAGCUGUUGGGAGAGGUAGAGAGACAGAGAAGAGGGCUUGGCAAAAAGACAGUAAACCUUUGUUCUUCCUUCCUGCCGGGUCCGCACCCCUUCCUUCUAGUGUGAGCACCUCUGUUUUCACGUAGAGGAUCUCCCCUCUCUCUCUCAGUCCAUACAGUCUGGAUGAUAUAAGCCCGAGCACGAGGAUUUAGGGGUGGAGGCAAGACUCAGGCUUUGCCAGGCUGUGUGUCCUAUCUCCUUGGCCAUAGAGAUGAUUUCUGAGCGAUGGGCCUCUGACUUAGGUCAGGCCAAACAGAACCACCUCUGGUACUUCUGAUGGAAAUCCCUGGAAAUCACUUUAGGGGAUCCGAGAGGCUAAUCCAUAAGUCAGGAGCCGUGGGCAUUCCCUUUGUCAACAGAGAGGACUAUGGAGCUGAGAGAGAGUUGUAAUGACUUUGUUCGAGCUUAACAUCUGCCUGAACUUUUUAGGAUCCUGAGCCAAUAAACUCCCAUUUUUACGCAAAUCAAAGUCAGGUUUCCAGCUCUUGUGACUAAAAGAAUCCUGACUAAUGGAAGGAGUGUUUACACACUCAGACAAAGCACCUAGGACAGAAUGUUACAGUUUACAGAGGACUGGGAUUCCCCAUCCUAGGAAAGGGAUUUUCUGCUGUCAGUUAGGCUGGUACUUCCUCCUGACACCUUCUGUUAUGAUAAGCAAACAUGUUGGUGGUGACCCACUUUCUUGCAUCAGGUUGGGGGAGGGGUGCGGAUUUUUAGAGCCAGUUGAGUCCAUAUAUUUCAAUGCAGUAGGGUUGGCCUCCGCUGACGGGACAGCAUCCAUGGGUCAAUGGUGGCCAUUUCCCUCUAGGGUGAGUGAAUAGAGGAGCUGGGAAAUACCUCGGUCCAUCUGGUCCGGCUCCCUCACAUGAUAAAGAAGGACCCCGAGAAUGCUGACUGAAGCUGACCCCACAUUAGAAUUCAAGCGUUCCCAUUCUCACGCCUUCAAUCCAUGGGUUCUCUGGCCCAACUGCCAUAACCUGCUUCUCCACUGACAUAGGGACAGGAUGAUUGUCUUGAAGAGUGAGCCUGUAAGGCUCUGCUUAAAGUAAAAGUGCCUUAUAUACUAUAAAGUAUGAUUCGUUCAUUCCUCAAAUUGUUGGAGGCCUACCCUGUGCUCGGUACACAUGGAACAGUUAACAAAACAUGAACCCAGGCUCCUACAAAUCUUCUCUAUUGGCACGGGAAGGCAAUAAACAUCACAGAAACUAUCUGGGAAGUCAGAGGGAGUAAGUGUUUGGGGAAAAAAAUAAAACCAGGAAGAAACCCCAGGGAUACGGACGUAACCUGAGGAGAUGGGCAUCUGACUGAAGAGGUAACAGCUGAGCAACAGCCACCUCAGGGAGAAGAAAGGUUCAAUCCUGCAAAUGGCAGACGUAACCUCCAUGCAGGGGAGACAGCUGCCUGAGCCCGGGAGGUGGAAGGUAUAGAACAAAUCUUCCUUCUGUGAAGUCAUGGUCUCUUCACAUGCAUUCUACCUCCUACAACUGCUUGGCCAGCAAGUAAGCCGUGCUCAGAUACUUAACUGUUUGCACUUGGCCAGGUCACGAAGACAAACGGUAGAGGUGAGCAAAGAGAGAGAGGUGAAGAGUGAGGGGACUGUCCGCCUCUCUGUAGAGAGAAAUGUAGCAAUACCUCAUUUAUAUAUUUCCACCCAGGAUUUCUCUGCUGGGUACUUCUACUAAGAAAACCCUAUCAUUCGGGAUCUGUGCAGUGACUUGGCUACAAAAAUGGUCAUUUAUCGUCUGCAUUAUUUAUAACGGUUCAACAUUUGAAACAUCCUAAACAUCCAUCUGUGUGGAAUUGGCAAUUAAUUAUGGUAUUUCCACCAGAAAUUCCAGGAAUGGCUCAGUUUGGGCUGACUUGGUUCAUGGACCUAUCCUUGAACCAGCUGCUAUGAGCAGGAAGACAGAAAUCACUGUUUAGUAAGGAGCAGUUCUAUGCAGCCAUUAAAAAUUGCAUUGUACACACCCAGCCGUAUUUGUGGAAAUAGUAUGCACUUUAAAUGGGUGCAUUUAAAGAUACAUAUCUUUAACAAAAACAAAAAAGUGUAUUUAUUAACACAACAGAUUUUUA